rnacentral:rRNA from 1 species
UGAGGAAUAUUGGACAAUGGGCGCAAGCCUGAUCCAGCCAUGCCGCGUGCAGGAUGACGGUCCUAUGGAUUGUAAAGCACUUUAAGUUGGGAGGAAGGGCAGUUACCUAAUACGUGAUUGUUUUGACGUUACCGACAGAAUAAGCACCGGCUAACUCUGUGCCAGCAGCCGCGGUAAUACAGAGGGUGCAAGCGUUAAUCGGAAUUACUGGGCGUAAAGCGCGCGUAGGUGGUUAGUUAAGUUGGAUGUGAAAUCCCCGGGCUCAACCUGGGAACUGCAUUCAAAACUGACUGACUAGAGUAUGGUAGAGGGUGGUGGAAUUUCCUGUGUAGCGGUGAAAUGCGUAGAUAUAGGAAGGAACACCAGUGGCGAAGGCGACCACCUGGACUGAUACUGACACUGAGGUGCGAAAGCGUGGGGAGCAAACAGGAUUAGAUACCCCCGUAGUCCCUGAGCGGGCUGGCAAGGCGCAU